rnacentral:lncRNA from 1 species
UCGCAGUUAGUGAUGCUCUUAUUCAAGUGGUUUUGGUUUGGCUGCCUCUGACACUUUAUUCCAUGUUGCCUAAUAGUUUUAAAAGCCCCUAUUUUAUAGUCAGUGCAUCUUUCUGUGGGUCCCCAGAGAAGGGAAGACUGUGAGGUAAGGGAAAUACAGUUUCUUCCCUCCUCCCUCUCUCUCCUCCUCCUUUCAUGCCCUUCUGGGCUCUCUGACAAGGGCUGUUGUGGGCGGGGGAGCUCGCAGCGUUUGAGGCUUUAGUUUUAAAUUCUGUUCAGGUUUUCCUCUAAGUACUGCUCUUCACUGUGUCUGCUCAUAACUGAGUCUCCCCACUUUCCUGGCUCUGCUUAUUCUUAGAGCUCAAAGGCCCCUAGGAUCACUUCUUCUGCCCCAGCCAAACUCAGCUCUCCCCUCCAUUUUGAUGUACCAGAAACAACUUUCGGUCCACAAGAAACAGUGGGUUUGUUUGGCAAGUCCCAGGACACUGGGGUAUGGCCUGGCAAUCAGACCCUGCUGGGCUGGGCUGUGAGUGGCAUGUGAAUGUGAACGCUCCUACCAUGAGCGGCAUCAGGCUGUGUCCUGCUCCUUCCCCUUCUUUCCUUUGUAUAUAGUGAUCCCUGUCCCUGGAACUCUUCUCUCAUUCCUGCCUACUGCCUCUAUUUUCACCUAGCCAACUCCUUUCUUCAAAUGUUUCCUCCUAUAGAAGUCUUUGGGGGUUAGGUAGUGUUAUGGACUGAAAUGUUUCCUCUGCUCCCAAAUCCAUAUAUUGAAAUCCUAAACCCCAGUUUUCAGAAUGUGGCUUUAUUUAGAGAUAGGUUCUUUUCAAAGGUAGUCAAGCUAAAAUGAGGUCAUUAAGGUGGGCUGUAAUCCAACAUGACUGGUGUCCUUAUAAAAAGAGAAAAGUGAACACAGAGCCGUGCAGAGGAAAGAUGAUACAAGGAGACACAGGGAAAAGACAGCCAUCAACAAGCCAAGGAGUGAGUCUCUCACAGCCCUCAGGAGGAGCUAGCUCUGCCAACACCUUGAUCUUGGACUUCUAGCCUCUAGAACUGUAAGAAAAUAAAUGUCUGUUGUUUAAAUCGCCCCACCCAUGGUAUUUUAUUAUGGCAGCCCGAGCUGUUGCACUUAGCCUCUCUGAGCUUCAGUUUCUUCAUGUAUUGACUAGGGGUGAUAAUUUCUAUUUUAUGGGUGGAUGUGAGGAUUGAAUGAGAUGAUAUAUAUGAACAUCCCUGGAUAGAUGGCUGUUCUGUGCACAGGGACAGGCAGGGCAUGUCUGCACAGCAAGUGGGGACUGAAGCCAAUUUGGGACUUAUUGAUCAUCAGGUGCCUAUGGGACAUCCAGGAAGACACUCUAGUAGCAAUGGCACAUACAGUGCUGGAUCAUAAUGCCUGGUUAUGGCAAAAAGACCGCAAUUCCCACCAGAGAGCAAAAAGGAAGUAAAGCUACCAUUGUUGAUCUGAAACUAAAUGGAUUCUUGUCCGUUGUGAGGAGCAGCAGCCUACAAAGCACACUGAAUGCCAAAUGUGUUGCACCAGGGCUACAGGGAGUCGACUGCUCACAGAAAGCAAGCAUUCUGUUCUAAUUCUGUGCUGUAAGCUUUGCAAUAAGAGGCUCCAUAUGAGAAGGCUGGUGGUUGCCCAGCUGGGCUUAUGACAGACACACCCAGAUGUUUUUAAUCUAUGCAAAAUAAUGAUGGAUACUUGCUACCUUCUUCAACUAAUUUUCAAGAUGUAUUUAUAUAAAAUAAAAGAGUCUUUUAAAGCACAACUUUUUUCAAAUGUAUUUGUUACUGCACCUUUUGCCCUGGAAAAUUAUUUUUCUAUUUUUAUUUUUAUUUUUUGAGACAGGGUCUCACUCUGUCACCCAGGUUGGAGUGCAGUGGUGUGAUCACAGAUCACUGCAGCCUCGACCCCCACAGGCUCAAGUGAUCCUCCCACCUCAGGCCCCUGAGUAGCUGGGACUACAGGCAUGCACCACUAUACCAGCUGAUUUUUAAAACUUUUUGUAGAGACAGAAUCUCACUACAUUGCCCAAGCUAGUCUCAAACUUCUGGUCUCGAGCCACCCUCCCACCUCAGCCUCCCAAUGUGCUGGGAUUACAGGCAUACGCCACCACACCCAGCCUUAUUAUUUUGCUCUUUAGAGAUAAGAUAUCCAAACUUCAAAAAUAUUGUUAAUUUGGUACAAGUUAAAUCUCAGAAAUUUUGGAAACAAUCGCCUUCUGUAAUAUAUGUAAAAUAUUAUACACAGUGUCUGGCAUACAGUUAGUGCUAAAUAAAAGUUUUUC